AGUGAACGCUGGCGGUAGGCCUAACACAUGCAAGUCGAACGGCAGCACAGUAAGAGCUUGCUCUUACGGGUGGCGAGUGGCGGACGGGUGAGGAAUACAUCGGAAUCUACUUUUUCGUGGGGGAUAACGUAGGGAAACUUACGCUAAUACCGCAUACGACCUACGGGUGAAAGCAGGGGAUCUUCGGACCUUGUGCGAUUGAAUGAGCCGAUGCCGGAUUAGCUAGUUGGCGGGGUAAAGGCCCACCAAGGCGACGAUCCGUAGCUGGUCUGAGAGGAUGAUCAGCCACACUGGAACUGAGACACGGUCCAGACUCCUACGGGAGGCAGCAGUGGGGAAUAUUGGACAAUGGGCGCAAGCCUGAUCCAGCCAUACCGCGUGGGUGAAGAAGGCCUUCGGGUUGUAAAGCCCUUUUGUUGGGAAAGAAAAGCAGCAGGUUAAUACCCCGCUGUUCUGACGGUACCCAAAGAAUAAGCACCGGCUAACUUCGUG
rnacentral:rRNA from 1 species